UACGUAGGUGGCAAGCGUUGUCCGGAUUUACUGGGCGUAAAGAGCGCGCAGGCGAUCGUCCAAGUCGAAUGUGAAAGCCCCCGGCUCAACUGGGGAGGGUCAUUCGAUACUGUUCGACUCGAAGGCAGGAGAGGGAAGUGGAAUUCCGGGUGUAGUGGUGAAAUGCGUAGAUAUCCGGAGGAACACCAGUGGCGAAGGCGACUUUCUGGCCUGUUUCUUGACGCUGAGGCGCGAAAGCUAGGGGAGCAAACGGG
rnacentral:rRNA from 1 species